CCCCAACUCCCCAAUUCACGUUUCUCACGUCUCACCUUAUUGCACGCACACACAUCUAUAUAUAUAAUACACACAUUCACAUAUAAAGGGGGAGGGACCAUUUUUGAGAAGCAAAAUCUCUAUCUUUAUUUUUGGCUCAAACUUAAUCUUAAAUACACUCAUUAUUCACGGCAAAAGCAGAAUGGAACAUAAAGAGGGACGAAAACUAAGAGAAAAGAGGAGAGCUGUGUUCGUCUAGUUUUGUCGCCGUCGUUGGAGUCUCGGUCGUGGUUCUGUAUUCGAUUCAUUGGUCACCGGCUCUAUGUCGGUGCUUUUCUCUGUUGCUGUACCGUUUUCUUGGAAAUAAUUUCAUCAGAAGGUCAAUUUGUUUUUAUUGUUGUUAUAUUAGUUAAUUUCAUGUUCUACUCUCGUCUUGUUGAAUGUUUUAUGACUGUGAUAUCAUUCUAUUACUUAGAUCCCCCAUCUGACUUAUUUUGUUUCACUGUUGUUGAAACAUGGAGAUUUUGUAUAUAUUUUUCUUUUGUAAUUAAAAACUCAUAGUUAUAAAUUUUGUGGAUGAUUAUAUAAAGUUAGAAGAGUUUGUUAAUGUUGAAACAUAUCCCUAUUCGUUACUUGACGUGAUUUAUUCACAAGCCUGACACAGUUAUCGAAAUUAGUUCAUUUACUUGUUACGAUAAGAAGUGAAACUUUAGUUUUAAUGUGCAAAUGGCAAUUGUAUUAUAUAAAUGGUUGUUUUAUGAUUUGAAACUUUAGUUUUAAUGUGCAAAUGGAAAUUGCAUUAUAUAAAUGGUUGUUUUAUGAUUUCAAAUAGCUGCAUCAUACACUUCUUCCACAAAUUUUUCCCCAAGCUCUUUGUAUUGGGUAAAUUUGGUCCCCUAGAUUCCUAUGAUAUCUACGUACGUACUCAGUAAAGAGAGCGGCCUAAUUAUGGUCGACUUGAGUAAGGCCGAUCAUAGUUAGCAGAUGGACCUAGUGACGUGAUUCACUGCGACAUCGUUUCGAGCUCUGACACUCGUACACUGAGGCCACUAACCCUUGUAUUUUUCUUUGAUUAUUUCGAGGAAGGUCCCUUGGUAUAUAAAUGGGACCUUCCAUUUG
rnacentral:lncRNA from 1 species